rnacentral:rRNA from 1 species
AUUGAACGCUGGCGGCAUGCUUUACACAUGCAAGUCGAACGGUAACAGGCCGCAAGGUGCUGACGAGUGGCGCACGGGUGAGUAAUGCAUCGGAACGUGCCCAGUCGUGGGGGAUAACUACUCGAAAGAGUAGCUAAUACCGCAUACGAUCUAUGGAUGAAAGCGGGGGACCGUAAGGCCUCGCGCGAUUGGAGCGGCCGAUGUCAGAUUAGGUAGUUGGUGGGGUAAAGGCUCACCAAGCCAACGAUCUGUAGCUGGUCUGAGAGGACGAGCAGCCACACUGGGACUGAGACACGGCCCAGACUCCUACGGGAGGCAGCAGUGGGGAAUUUUGGACAAUGGGCGCAAGCCUGAUCCAGCAAUGCCGCGUGCAGGAAGAAGGCCUUCGGGUUGUAAACUGCUUUUGUACGGAACGAAACGGCUCUGGUUAAUACCCGGGGCUAAUGACGGUACCGUAAGAAUAAGCACCGGCUAACUACGUG